GGUGGAAAUGACGAAAACUAUUUCAAGGACUUCUGUUCGUGGCAAAGUAACAUAUUCAACAAGUACUCAAAACAUCACCUUUCUCGUGGCAAGGAAUAAACACCUAAGAAUUCUUAAACAAAGACGACAGAGGUUAUUGAAUGUUAUUAUAAGAUGCAUGUUGCUGUACAAGUUGCAUAUAUCAUUAAAAAGGAAACUUAAGACCUUGGAAAAGACUUUUUACAAACUAUUUUUAAACUAAGAAGACAAAGUUGCAUGAUAUGUCGAAAAGUGAAGGACGAAAACGCUGAUCGAUGCUGUGGGACUGCUUUCUUGGGUGUAUUUUUGUGAA